CCUCCUAUACCCUGAGGCCUGACCCACCCUGGCCCCCACACCACCCCAGCAGCGGAGAUGAGGGUAAGUGAGGGCUCCUUAGGAAGCAGAGAGGAGGCCACAGGGCCAAAUGUGACACUCAGAAGGGCCACUGGAGACCACGCAUGGCGUUUCCUGCCAGCCCACUCAGCAUCUAGCCCAGGGCCAGACUGGACACUGCCCCGCAGGACCCAGCAGGCCUAAGCCUCAGGACCUCCAUGUCCACACCAGGUUCAGCCUCCUCUGCUGGCACGUGACUUCUCCCCGUUUCCCGCCCCCCAGUGUCCUGAGGCUGGGAGGGCAUUAACAGAAACCACCUGACACACAGCAGGUGCCCAGUUUGUGCCCACAGACAAAGCACGGGGACUGCAGAGGAGACCCACAGAGCUCUCUAGGGAGGGUUUGUGAGGACCUGGCAGCGGGGGGGAGCUGAAGGGUUGAGCAGGGCAGAGGCCACUUCCCACCCUCAGAGGACAAAGCAGGACUUCUGACAAAUAGAGCAGGAUGCCCAGGGGGAGGGGCUGCCUGUCGUCCCGCAGGCGGCACUCCCGCCCCGAGGCCCCGAGUGGCACGGUGACGCGCUCAGGUCUGUGUUUUAGAGCGCGCGCUCUGGCUGCCGUGCGGAGGAGCUGGAUCUGGGAGAGGCUGCGGGCAGGGAGUCCAGUUAGGAGGCUGGGACCGCAGCCCAGGUGAGCUAAGAGGAGGGCUGGGCCUAGGCCACAGCUGCCGGGACCCCGAGGAGGGGCCCAUCCAAGACAUAAUACAAGCUUCUUGGGGGCAGAUAAGCCGCUGGGGCUCCUGGCUCAGGCAGCCUGCAAUACCCUCCACCGAACCAGUGAGUGCCGCAGAAGAGGGAGAGGAGGAGUAGGGAGAGGAAGCUGGUGGCAGGUGGCACCUCCGGGGCCGGCAGGCAGGCAAGCACUCCAGGCCGACUCCGCCUCUGGCUUAACCCGCGGCGGCCGGCGAGGAGAGCGCGGAGUCGAGCUGUGCGAGCCGAGAGGGAGGGAGCGCCGAGAAAGUGCGGGGAGGAGGGGGUGAGCGAGGUGGAGGCGAGGAUGCAGCCGGCGCGGCGGCGGGGGACGGGGAGGGGCGCUGGGGCUGGGGAGGGGGCGGGAUCUCGGACUCCCACCCGGGGCCCGCUCGGGAGCGCACGCGAGCGCGCACACACACGUGUGCUCGCGCGCGCACACUCACGCAGGGGCACGCGGACCGGCACACACUCGUGUGCACACAUCCAACCGGGCACCCCCGCGCGCACACGCCCGUGCCCACGUGUGCACGCUCACACCCUUGCACACACCCAGGCGCGCGCUGGCACACUUACCCGGAGAACUUCGCACACACACGCACUCGCAAACACGCGGGCUCCCUGCGCCACCAGGAAGCAGCCGCCAGAAUCGCCGGGUGUUCCCCAACUACUCCUGGGAGACCUGGCCCCCCGCCCCCGCCCGCGCGCGCGGCCACGGCGCCUCCCUCCCUCCCGGGUCCCCAAGGCCGGACCACCGGCCUCGUUGUCAUGGCGACGCCGGCUCAUCUCCCCCCACCCCCGCGCGUCUUCACGCCCCUCCCCCGCAGGGAGCUGGGGCCUCCCUCCUCCCUUCCCCACGUCCGUAGGGACCCACAGGUUGACAGGAGCAGGGGGUCGCCUGCUGUCACCGGCCG
rnacentral:lncRNA from 1 species